GCCAUCCACAUCGGCUAUGAGCAGUUAGCAAGCGGGCAGCAAGAGCGAGCGGGCAGCGAGAGAAAAAGGGUACACGUCCGCUGCGAGAGAAAAUAUCUCGUCUCUCUCCCGAGCGGGCAGCGAGAGAAAAAGGGUACACGUCCGCUGCGAGAGAAAAUAUCUCGUCUCUCUCCCUUCUCCGUUCUCAUCCGACUCCUCUUCUCCAUGCCGCCGUCGCCUCCUCCUCUUCCCCGUCCCUCACGGCCUCCUCGCCCGCUCCGCCUUCAGCACCUCUUCCUCCCCUUCCUCUCCUCCUUCCCUGCCUCCGGUUCCAGGCAUGGAGGGAUGAACCCGGAGAGCUGCAGCCGGUGGAUGCCGCGACGGACGGGGAGGCGAUGGUGAAGGGGAGUUUCGGUCAAGUGGAAUCUGAUGGGUUGCAGGGCGAGGAGCAGGGAGUAGCCUGGCGUAGAUACAGAAUAUCGGCCUCUCCCCACGACCCACCUCUCCCACCAGAGCACAACUAGUCAUCUAGGGUUUGGAUGGGUCUGGGUACCUACAACGAUGGCAGUAGAGGCGACAAAGACCACUUUGCAACCUCGCUGAACUGUGUUACUGAACUGAAAGUUUAGGGACGGCAGUAGUUCUACCACCGAUGGUGUUGCAUGUAAGCUGGAUGUUCUCAUUGUUCUGUUGGCUCUGAUCGGUGAUGCAGGAUGUGAGGUACAACUAUCAAAGUGACAUUAAUUUUGGUUUUGCUUCCUAUCCGCAGCCUCUUCUACACUAGAAAAGGAAAACACUCGACGAUCUGGCUCUGUCUCAGGUAUAUGCUCCCUCGCCCGCAAGAUCCGCUCUCUCCCAUCUAUGCAUCACGGCAACACUUCAGCUCCUCUUAUGGAUUCUCACCAGAUCAGGCCACCUCACUCACCUUCAGGUAAACCUUGAGCGACGACACAGUAUGUUUUCGCGAACUAAUCUUCUUUAGUCAACCUAUCGAUCCUUGUUGCGUGUGCUUCUUAAUCGACAUGUGAACAAUCUGUUGAUGCAUGGAAAUACAUGCUGAUCUCCUAUUUUCUUGCUGCCUUCAAGAUAGUAUAUGCAUGAAUCUUGUUCAACUACAACAACUUGAAAGCCCUGUUAUUCUCAGAAAAAUUAUCAUCUACGGUUGUAUGCAUAUGCCUCUUGAUAUUUACCAGCUCUCCUUUAAGAUUUCCUAACUAGCAUACAUAUCCUAGCUAAAACAUAAGAGUUCGAAUUUGUACAUGUGAACUGCACAUUAAGUUACUAUCACCAUUGUUUAACAACACUGUUAAUUAUGACUCAAGUUUGUAAACAGUCAUCCAUACCAUAGGUACGUACGUUAAUGCAGAAGCACUACUAUUGAAUUAGAUGUAGUAACUGCGUCAUUCUGAACAUUUUAGCAAGUUCAUGCAUUAACCGCUUAGGGUCCAUCGAUGAAACAAAACCAAUCAUAUGAAUUGAAGGAGCUACUGAAAUAAAAUGGAAAGAACAAAGAGAAAAUUGAAGGUUAUCUAUAUGAAAAUUCAGAGAAUGGGAUAGGAGAGGUGGUUCUUCCCAAUAGGAAAAAGAGUGGAGUAUAGUACUGUUAUCCUGCCUUUUCUACUACAAUCCCAGUUAGCAUAAUAAUGUGACAUGGAAAAUCAUAUUAUCGAUUCAAUUAUGAUUCAAGCAACAUGAACAAUUAUCCAUGAAAUUCACUUCUAAACCCUGGUUUUAUUUAGUUUUAACUUCAGGAUAGGCAUUUACUGUAUUGUAAUUGCCAGACUUUCAAAAUUCUACUAUUACCAUUGUUUAACAACACCCUUUUUGUCACGGGAAAAUAAUAGAUGGAUAAACGUCUCAAAUCAUACACUAUGAAGCUUCCAACACUUGCUUACAGUGUCUUUCUUGUGUAAUCAGUCUGUCGUGAUGGACAAAGUUAAGAUCCCAACAAAAAGUGCUUCUUGAUACUAUGAUGCAGCAACUUAACCUUCCAAAUUGCAGUUUACUAAACAGAAAGUGCUUCUUGAUGCUAUGAUACAACUUCUUGAUGCUAUGAUGCAGAAACUUUAUGCUAUGGGCAAGUGAUUCAUGCUGCUCUUGGUUCUUCUGUACACUUGAAAUAAGGAACAAUAUUCCAAAGUAUGAUAGUGUUUGGUUAAAACAUAUACCUUAGUCCAUUACUUCAGUUUCUUCUUCUGAAGUUAUGUUUUGCUUUUCUACUUCUUUGCUCUGCUUUACACAAUUUACAUGGCUUUCGAGUCCUUUUAUUUAGGAGCAGGGAAAAACCUCUAAUUGUUAACUUUGUAUUUUCGCACUGACUAGCGCAUAUCUUGCCUAAGCGCAGGCUUAAGCAAUGUGUUUUGUUCUGCCCUAGCGCCUAGGUGCUUACACCCUUUCCCCCUACUGAUUUAAGAGGUGUGGAGAUUUUUUAAGGAGGUGUUGCUCGCUUUGUUGUUCAGAUCACAGAAGAAUUGCCAGGACCUCACCGGCAGAUCCCUCAGCUAUCAGGGAAAGCAGCCAUCAGCGGAGAUUGAGGCUGCCUCUCCGGCGAGAGUGCUCGUGUCGUGGUGGUUUCCCACCAGCGGCAUGGGGGAGGCGGUGUCCUCCGCAGCUAGGUCUACUUGCUGGCGACCUCACCGUCACCAGCCCAUCUGCAGGUAUGCUAGCUCCUCUUCUAUUAAUGCAAAAAGGAGAUGCUCAAAUGGAUUGAGUGGUACCCUCCUGAAAGUAUUGUAGGGAUGGACAUAUGGAUUGAUUGGUAGGCCCCUGAAAGCUACACAGAUCUGAACCAAUAACUUUAAUAAGAAUGUGUAUCCCAGCUCCUUUUAUAAUCUUGAAUCCUUCUCGGUCCUACUAAACUGUAACUCAUGUUUAUUUUUGGAAACAAUAUUUUGGACAUUCCUAACCUGGUCAAGGGAAUGUAUUGCCCACCUACAGUGAGAGACACAUACGAAGUAGGUCCUACUAAACACCUAAAAGGAUGAGUUACAGUAGGUGUGCAUAGAGUACUAACAUUUUUGCUAUCUUUAUGCUCCUCCAUAUGGAUGGGAACUAAAAGGAUGAUGAUAUUAUUCUACCUUUCAAUAUUUGGUGGCGCAUAUUUAAGAAAAUCACAGCUAAGCAUGUCACUUUCUAAAAAGACGCUUGACUGGAAUGUAUAUGUAUGUAGUUAAUAAAAUCAUAGUGACUGAUUGUUCAGUUCCUCUGUUUAGAUUAGAGGUGUCUGCAUGCAUCCAAGUGAUCGGUCUUUCCAGCUCAAAAGAGAAAGUGACCGAUGUUUUGGCAUAUUUUCCUAUUAGGAAUAAAUGGACAUGCCCAUGCACGUAUGCACACAGAUUUCAGGUUACAGUUUAAUUAGGAAACAGAUGAUACCUCAUUGUGUCGUCUUGGUCUAAGAAGAGGGGAUAUACUUGGUGAAUAUAUAUGUUCCACCCGACCGUUAAUUUCAGAGAAAAGGACAUGCACUUCAAUAGCAAAAAUUUGAUUGUUAUGUACUAUCUGUAAUGCUAAGCAUUUAUUUGCUAAUAUCUCCUCAUCUGAAUUUGUAUUUUGUGCCAUUUGGCCUUUUAACUAUAUGGGCAUCUGCAGAUGGUCUGAAAACCAAGAUAUGCCACAGAUAAUAACUAUAUGGGCUGCUCCAGAUGGACUAAGAAUGGAACCAUAUCCUAGGCCUACAUGCUAAUAUUGUACAUCAAUGAAUAUCUUCACUUAUUUAUACUUAAUCAGUUGUGUAAUAAUAAGCGUGAUAUUAGCUUUCGUACCCAUCUUCAUGGUUGAAAUACUUUUCUGCAAUCUGUGACACAUUUGCUUCAGUUUCCAUAUGUCUUGCUUCAUGCUAUCAACAUUGUUAAUCAUUUAUCUUUAUCUUUCUUUCCCUUUACAGCCUACUUGAAUGGAUAUGGUUCCUGAGAGACCAUUUCUUAUGCAUCAGGUCCUGAAGGUGGAUGUUGCUUGUUUAGAUAUCUAUGAUUACAAAUUAUUCAAAACGGUUCAUGUUAUACUGGAUGCUAUUUUAUUGAGAGUGGCUUCGAACAAUAUGGCAUGAACAUAUUUGUUUUCUCUUUGGCCAAUAAUGAAAUGAUCUUUGUGCAUAUAAAAUGGUUAUCGAUACCA